AUUCUCAUUCUUAUAGUCAAGAAUACACGUAUUUCUAUUUCUCUAUACGAUUUGUAUCAAAUUAUAUCACAUAUCCUUAGAACCAUACACAAAUUUAACUCUAUCUGUUUUUCGGGUAAACAAAACUGCCUUUGAAUGAUGCUUUACGGAGAAUGAGGUAUGCAUUCCCAUUCGGAUAUUGGUGCUAUGAGAAUCCGAGUUAGGAGACUUUACCACACCUUUUUAAUACAUCCUUAUGGCCGGUAGGAUUUGCUCUUACUUUGCUUCUUGUGCAGGUCUAGCAACUUCAUCAGGGCAUUCUUAAAUGGUGGCAAGCUAUAGUCAACCCAAGAUUGCAACCGUACUAUUAUGUUAUGCCUUCCAUAAUUAUUUGGGAGCUAUGGAAGAGAAGAAACCCAUUCAAGCAUGGAUGCACUACUUCUGUUAGUAUGAUUAUAUAUCAGAUGUUCAGUAUGGUACUGUGCAAAAUCUAGUGAGAAUCAGAAGGUCAUCGCUUCAGCAUAUCCCUCAUAAAUCAAACUAGCUACUAGAAGGCUUUACCCUAGCUUUGAAGAUCACAAAGGUUCUUUAGGAACAGCCUCUAGAAGGAUGGAUGAAAUGCAAUACUGAUGGAACUUCAAGAGGCAAUCUUGUUAGGAGUUCAUAUGCAUUAUGUGUUAGCUAGUGAUGUUGGGGGAUCUGAUUCAUGCACAAGCCAAGGAGAUAGGAUACUUUACAAAUACAGAAGCUACGGUAGUUGCUAUAUUGGAGGCAAUCAGGAUAUCAUAUUGUACCAUCAUGUUAAAGGUCAUUAAACUCUCUAAGAAAUUAAUGGGAGACUGCUGCAAAUUCCAGUUGGGGGACCAAAGAAUUGAUUGUCCUAUUAGCUGUCACUCUCCUUGCAAGUAGGUGUGCAAUUGGGACAGGGCCCCACUCGCUUCUCUUCUCUUCUAUGCGGCUCUUGUUUUGGACGGUCCAUUUUUCAGGAUAACGUAUCAACGUCAUCCUAAUUUUGUUGUUCCCAUAAUUGCUUUCUUUAUUUUUAUUUGUAAAUAAUUAUAAUUGCCUAUUCUUGGAAGUUGCACGAUUUAAAGCUUGUUUGGA